UUUGUGAAACAAUGUUAAGGGAACCCUCAGUAAUAAUUACAAAGUGUCAGGCUUCUGUGUUAACUAGAGUGAUAGAUUUUUAAAAUUGUAAAUAGCAUAAUUCUUUGUAAGUGAUGGAAGUGAUUUCACUGUGGAAUGGAAGGCAACCACAGUCGCCUACUGUACCUACUGUAUGUAAAUCAGGUUACAGGUGAAUUUAAUGUCCUUUAGUAUGUGUUAAUCUAGUUGCUUACACUUAAAAAAACAAAUAUGUGCUUAGUAUAACCUAUCAAAGAAAAAAAUUCAUGCUAACAGCUCAGAUGUUCCUCACGUUAAGUGCCAUGAGAAUUUCAAUGGACGAAACAGACAUCUCUUCCAGUAACUCCUCAUCUGAGUCUUGCUUCUUUUUCAUCUCAGGUUUGGACAACAGCAGAAUUUAAGGCUGGUCUUAAGAAAACCAAGAAUGCUGGUGAUAAGGCGUUUGGUUUUACUCCUUUUUUUGUCUACUGGUGCCUUCUGUGCUAACCUUACAGGGACAUUCAGCACUUGCUCAGACUGCCCGGACAACGCCAUCUGCCUGCCUCCCUCGGACCCUGAGCCCUCCUCCCAGGCUGUCACAUGCAGCUGCAGGGAAGGCUUCGUGGGCAGUGGC
rnacentral:lncRNA from 1 species